CGAGAUAACAGAUAUCCCUUAUCUUAAACCGUGUUUGUUAUAAUCACAGCUGAUAAAAAUUUAAUAAUUUAUAAUUUACAAUUGAAAAUUGUUAGUUAAUAAAACUAAUUUAUUGUUCUAUCAUAAAAAGGACUUAGAUAUCUUAGGCUGUGGUUAAUAAUUAUUAAUUAAUGUGUAAAAAGUUUAAAUGUUUUUUGUUUAUUACGAAUGGUGAUUUACCAUUUUACAUAGUAAAUAGAAUGAUUAAUGAACGUUAAGUUAUAGGCGUAAGGAAUCCGUUUCUAAUAUAUUAGAUUGGUUUACACUUGAUGAAAGAAUAAAAAAUAAAUGUCCCUGCAGUCAUUACAAUAUAAUGGAAUUUGUUGUGUUAAUUUUACAGUAAAACACAGAAUUUCCAUUUAUGAAUAAUAUUAUUGUUAAUGAUGAUAUAUUGAUAUGCAGAAUAUAAUCUAUAAGAUUUAGUCGAUAAUUUACAUGAUAAUAAUGUGAUUAAUGGAUAUUUGGGAACUUUGGUUGAACAUAAUUUCAGUGGUAUUAUUCUGAAGUUUGUUUUAUGUUACUGGUUACAAUUUGAUUAUGAAGUACUUUUACAACCAUUCAACUGCCAUACAAAUAAGUAAAUUGACUGCCUCACCUCAACUAUGACAAACUAUGUACACAACUAGUAUACAUUGCUAAAUUUUAUAUAAUAUAUAUAUUAAAUGCUGAAAUAUUCAAAAGUUUUUAAAAAAAUAUCUUAAGUGCUGUAAUAUGGUAUAUCUAUUACUGGUUUAGUGUUAGUUAUUAGAUUUUGUACAGAUAUUUAAAUAACAUUAAUUAAUCAAAAACAUUUAAAAUAAUAAAGAAGUAUAACUUAAUUUAUCAAAUAAUUCUGAAUAUUUUUAGGAAUUAUAAAAGAACCAUUCUCUUUAAUCAUUUGAAGGUGUGUUAAAGAAAUAUGAAUCAGUGAUGUAACAAAAUGCAUGUAAACAUACGUACAACCACAAUCAGUGUUGCGUAGUUGUAAUGAAUCAUUAGCGUACACACAAAUUACAUUUUAAACUUGUUUUGUUGCAAUAGCUUAAAAUAUUAUAACAUUAAUAUGUUAUUUGAAGUAAGCAAAUAAAAUGCUCUUUCCUUUCAUCUAGGAAAAGAAACGAGUCCAUAUAAUAACUAUUUUAAAUUUCAAAUGAAUUAUACCUAAAAUCUAAUGUUUUCCUUUUAAAAGUGUAUUUGUGGCUAUCAAAAUGAAAUCCUUGUUUAAAGUAUCAGUGUCUAAAACUUUUUGUAAUAUAUUAGUAUUACCUUUCAUAGUACAAAAAUAUAAAGAUUGACUUUUCUUUCCUAUUAUUAAUAAUUAAGUAGCUGAACACAUCAUGCAAUUAUAAAUGAA